AUUGAACGCUGGCGACAGGCCUAACACAUGCAAGUCGAGCGCGAAAGUCUUCGGAUGAGUAAAGCGGCGAACGGGUGAGUAAUGCAUGGGAAUCUGCCUGGUAGUGGGGGACAACGUCUCGAAAGGGACGCUAAUACCGCAUACGCCCUACGGGGAAAGGGGGGGAGUCUUCGGACCUCUCGCUAUCAGAUGAGCCCAUGUCAGAUUAGCUAGUUGGUGAGGUAAAGGCUCACCAAGGCGACGAUCUGUAACUGGUCUGAGAGGAUGAUCAGUCACACUGGAACUGAGACACGGUCCAGACUCCUACGGGAGGCAGCAGUGGGGAAUAUUGGACAAUGGGGGCAACCCUGAUCCAGCCAUGCCGCGUGUGUGAAGAAGGCCCUAGGGUUGUAAAGCACUUUCAGUGGGAGAAAGGUUAUUCACCUAAUACGUGAGUAGAUUGAUGUUACCCACAGAAGAAGCACCGGCUAACUCCGUGCCAGCAGCCGCGGUAAU
rnacentral:rRNA from 1 species